rnacentral:lncRNA from 1 species
CUCUUCGGGGACGCACGGUUGGAAGUUGUACCGUGACGUGAUGGUCAGAUCGGAUGAUAGAAUUUUGGAUUUUUCCACUGCACCUGGCUGCCUCCGCCCUGGCCCCAGAUUGGCUCCUCCAGAAACAGACUAGCCCGGCCCUUUGCCCUGCUGGGCCCUCCUGGGAGAGCGCUUUUCACAACAUUGGCUGGGAUGAGGGUCUGGAGGGCCCGGAACGGAGCCUGCCUUCUCCUUCUCAGUCACGCUUGGCCCAGGCUGCCCCGGACCGGGCCACAUCCUUGGCCGCCCCGCACCUGACGUGAGAAGAGGCUACGUAUCAUAGAUUCCUCCAUCAGUAGUAAGGAGCCUGAGUUUCUGUCUCAGGUCAGCUUGUGUGGCUUUGAAUGAGAGGCUCUGGUCUGCAGUUUUCACAUCUGCAUCGUCUAAAGGCAAGGGCACAGACUUUACUGCCUGGUAGACAUGGGGUAGGCCCUCCUUUAUUGGCAGUGUGACCCUGGGCAAAUUACUUGUCUUAAUCUCCAAUUCCACACCUGUGAAACCCCACCUCCAAGGUUGUGGGAACCCAAAAGAAUGUAUGUAAAGCACCUGUUGCAUUGUAGGAAUCUACUUAAUAUUACUGUAGGAGGUUGAACUAAAUGGCUCUUGAGGUCUCCUCGGUUACUCCCAUUCUCCAUGUCACCAAGAGGUCUUGUCUGGGUAGUUUCAACUCCUUACCCAGCUUCUUUCUAAGUCCACUCUAUGCAGGGCAGGGCUGGAAUAGCAAGGUCAGAUGAUGUCAUGGCAUGCCAACCUGACUCUGAAUGGCAGUUCAUGGCACCCUGAACUGAAAGUGAGGGAACAGGAAGGAAAAGGCUAGCCCAGGGAAACUGCGGAGCACUUUACUCGGACUACACCUACCUUUCCUUCCCCAGGGGGCUGCCAGGAAACAGUUGUCACACAGCUGGAGUGGGACCCCCAGAGGCACUUAGUGGUCACCAGGCAGGUGGGUAUUUGAACCACCCAGAGCAGAACAGGCAGCUUCUUCAAUAUUUCCAGGGCCAAUGGCCCCAAAAGGGCUCAUUCCAAGAUCGAAAUAAUCAUCUGAGUCUGAAAUAGCUCUGCCUAUGUCCUGUGGAAGUUUCUCCUGGUUUGUGGAGGUGCCUUUCCUUAUAGUCAUCUUUCUGCAGACAUAAGCAAACCCAGUGUUGUUCUUUUCACAGAAACCUCCCCAGCAUUAAGGCAAGAAAGGUGUCUCUGUUUUUUCCGAAGUGUGCCUGCUUGACUCCUUUGAUUUUUCUCUGGGAUUCUUCAUCCUCCAUCAAGUUGAUCGAUCCCUCUGGAUCUUGGUCAGUUUCCUGACAUCUCUAUGAAGUUCAGUGACCCAGACUGAGUCCACGUCUCAAAUAAGGUUCUGACUAAUGCAGAGUCUAACAGAAAGAUUACUGAACAUGUCAUGCACUAUUAAUAACUCCUGUUAUCGAGGAUUUUUUUUUCACAAUAGGAAUGAACAGAGUUCUGACUCACUCUAGGUUUGUGGUAAAUUGCAGAUCACUUUCUGCUUUAUUUAGCGGGAGUCCCUGUUGUCAUCUUUCUCCUUCUCUCUUGGCCCUCAUAAUUAUCAUAUCUUCCCCAAACGUUCUUCAGCUGUGAAUAGCCCUAAGCACUAUUCAGAGUGAGUGACAGCUCUCUUAUUUCGUGCUGGGGGACAUACAAACCCUUGGACAAACACUUGUCACUGUGUGCCAAGAAGCUGAAAAAUUCUUCUUGCCUCAGAGCCAUAAUUACACUUUUGGUAGCAUAUUCUAAGGAAGUCAUCCCAUGUACAGGAAAAGCUGCAAUGUGUCAGGAUGUUCAUUCCAGCAAUAUUUAUAGUAGUGAAAAACUGAAAGCAACCAAAUGCCCAAGAAAAAAAUUACAGUAUAUCCACUGGAUGGAAUAGUAUGAAGCCAUUUAGGACAGAUUGUGAAAACCCUGUGGCAGUAUGGGGAAUGUUUGCUAAGUUAUAUGAAAAGAUGAGGACACAAAAUAGCAUAACAUACAUUCCCCAGGGAUAUAGUCAGCAAAGUCUAGAAUGAAGAAAAUUAGGACAAACACCCAAUUCCCUUAACAAAUAAAACUGGGGCCAGGUAUGGUGACUCACGCCUGUAAUCCCAGCACUUUGAGAGGCCAAGGCUUGUGUCCAGGAGUUCGAGACCAACCUGGACAACAUGGUAAAACCCCGUGGUCUACAAAAAAUACAAAAAUUAGUUGGGCAUGGUGGUGUGUCUAUAGUCCCAGCUACUCAGGAGGCUGAGGUGGGAGGAUCAAUUGAGCCCGGGAGGUCAAGGCUGCAGUGAGCUGUGAUCGUGCCAGUGCAUUCCAGUCUGGGCAGCAGAGUGAGAUCCUGUCUCAAAAAAAAAAAAAAAAAAAAAGGAAAAAAAAGAGGGGGAGAGACUUACAGAUUAAAAUAAAUUAAAUGAUAUAUCAACUAAAAGUCUUAUUUGGAUCCUGAUUCAAGCAAACUGACUUUAAAAAAAAAAAAAAAAAAAAAAAAAAAAAGGCCGGGCAUGGUCACGCAUGCCUGUAACCCCAGUACUUUGGGAGGCCAAGGUAGGCGGAUCACCUGAGGUCAGGAGUUUGACACCAGCCUGGCCAACGUGGUGAAACUCCGUCUCUACUAAAACUACAAAAACUAGCUGGGUGUGGUGAUGGGCGCCUGUAAUCCCAGCUACUCAGGAGGCUGAAGCAAGAGAAUUGCUUGAACCCAGGAGGCAGAGGUUGUAGUGAGCCAAGAUUGCACCAUUGGCACUCCAGCCUGGGUGACUGAGCAAGGCUCUGUCUCAAAAAAAAAAAAAAAAAAAAAAAGAUUUUAUUAAGUUAUCAGGCAAAUUUGAAUACUGACAAGGUAUUCAACGAUAUUAAGGAAUUCUAAAUGUUUAGGCGUGAUAUGGAAUUGUGGUAAGGUUGUUUUUUUAAUUUAAAAAGUCCUCCAUGGCUGGGCGUGGUAGCUCAUGCCUGUAAUCCCAGCACUUUGGGAGGCUCAGGCAGACAGAUCACCUGAGGUCAGGAGUUCGAGACCAGCCUGGCCAACAUGGUGAAACCCCGCCUCUACUAAAAAUACAAAAAUUAGCCAGGCGUGGUGACAGGCGCCUAUAAUCCCAGCUACUUGAGAGGCUGAGGCAGGAGAAUCGCUUGAACCCAGGAGGUGGAGGAUGCAGUGAGCCGAGAUCGUGCCAUUGCACUCCAGCCUGGGAGACAAGAGUGAAACUUCAUCUCAAAAAAAAAAAAAGUCUUCCUUGGCUGGGUGCGUUGGAUCACACCUGUAAUCCCAGCACUUUGGGAGGUGAGGCAGGCAGAUCACAAGGUCAGGAGUUUGAGACCAGCCUGGCCAGCAUGGUGAAAUCCCGUCUCUACUAAAAAUAGAAAAAAAUUAGCCAGGCAUGGUGGCACGUGCCUGUAAUCCCAGCUACUCGGGAGGCUGAGGCAGGAGAAUUACUUGAAACUGGGAGGCAGAGGUUGCAGUGAGCCGAGAUCAUACCACUGUACUCCACCCCGGGUGACAGAGAGAGACUUCGUCUCAAAAAAAAAAAAAAAAAAAAAGUCCUCCUUUCAGACAUACAUACAUACUAAAAUAUCUGUGGAUGAAAUGAUACAGUGAUUGCAUUUGCUUCGAAAUAAUCUGGACUGGGAACCAUAGGGAAAUAAUAAGAUGAGCCAUGAGGUGAUAAUUAUGGAAGCUGUGUGAUGAGGACAUGAAGUUCCUUAUAUUAUUUUCUAUACUUUUUUUUUUUUUUUUUUUUUGAGACAGAGUCUCACUCUGUCACCCAGGCUGGAGCACAGUGGUGCAGUUUCGGCUCACUGCAACCUCCGCCUCCCUAGUUCAAGAGAUUUUCCUGCCUCAGCCUCCCGAGUGGGCUGGGAUUACAGGUGCACGCCACCACAUCCAGGUAAUUUUUGUAUUUUUAGUUGAGACAGGGUUUCACCAUGUUGGCCAGGCUGGUUUUGAACUCCUGACUUCAAGUGAUCUGCCCACCUUGGCCUCCCAAAGUGCUGGGAUUACAGGCAUGAGCCACCACGCCUGGGCUAUUUUCUCUACUUUUUUAAUGUUUAAAACUGUUCAUAAUAAAAAGUCUAAACCUGCAUAUACGUUAAUGAUUAAGAUAAGCCAAAAUAGAGCAGCACUGGUAACAUCCUCUGGCACCAGACUGCCAGGGUUCAACUCGCAGCUCCUCUAGUUACCAGCUGUGUAACCUUAAGCAAGUUACUGAACCUCUCUGUGCUUCAGUUACCUCGUUGCUAAAAGAAUUGGCAAGUGACACUGGUGUUCGGAAAAAAUAAAGUAAAUGAAGAUGGCGAUGAUCAUGAUAAUACCCUCCUCAUGUUGUGGAUAUUAAAUGGGUCAGUAAAUGUGAAAUGAAACACUCAAAACAAUUCCUGGCACAUAAUUAAGUGCUCAGUAUGUGUUGCCUUUUAUUAAUUCAUUCCACAUUUGAAUGAUAUUUGAGCAUCUACUUUACUAGGUUAUGGAAAUUCAACAAAAUAAAAACAGACCUUGGGCCGGGCACUGUGGCUCAAGCCUGUAAUCCCAGCACUUUGGGAAGCUGAGGCGGGAGGAUUGCUUGAGGCCAGGAGUUCAAGACCAGCCUGGCAACGUAAUGAGACCCCCCCCCCACCCAACCACCAUCUCUAUAAAAAACAAAAAUAAAUUAGCCGGGCAUGGUGGCAUGUUCCCGUAGUCCCAGCUACUCAGGAGGCUAAGGCGGGAGGAUCGCUUGAGCCCAAGGAAUUCGAGGCUGCAGUGAGUUAUGAUCUCGCUAGGAAUUCGAGGCUGCAGUGAGUUAUGAUCUCGCUAUUUCACUCCAGCCUGGGCAAUAAAGCAAGCCCUGUCUCUUAAAACAACAACAACCGGGCAUGGUGGCUAGCGCCUGUAAUCCCAGCACUUUGGGAGGCCGAGGCAGGUGGAUCAUCUGAGGUCAGGAGUUCGAGACCAGCCUGGCCAACAUGGUGAAACCCCGUCUCUACUAAAAAUGCAAAAAUUAGCCAGGCAUGGUGGCGCGCCCCUGUAAUCCCAGUUACUAGGAAGACUGAGGUGGGAGAAUUGCUUGAACCCGGGAGGCGGAGGCUGCAGAGAGCAGAGAUGGCGCCAUUUUACUCCAGCCUGGGCAACAAGAGUGGAACUUUGUCUCAAAAAAUAAAGAAAGGAAGGAAGGAAGGAAGAAAGACAACAACAAAAAAACCUUGAAUCAGGAUGAAGGGAUUUAGGGUGAUCUUUUUCAUUCUCUAGUUUCAAACUUCACGUAAUGUGGUAUUACUUUUAAAUUUUUUAUUAAAAUUGUUUAAAAACAAAAUGAGUCUGCCACAGGCUCUUUCUGCCCUCUGGGAGUUCCUUAGGCUGCUGAGGUAGACACAUUCCCCAGCCUCAGUGUGCUUUCAUCUGGUGAUCUGGGAGUGGUGAUCGGGCCUCUGCUUGUGAGACAUACACCGUCUUGUGGGCUGAGAUAGGUUGAUAAACAAGGAACAUGUUCCUGGGAUGCUGCUGGCCGUGUUCAGAAGCUGGGAGAAGGGAUGUCAAGAAACAGUGCCUCGAGCUGGGUGCGAUGGCUCACGCCUGUAAUCCCAGCACUUUGGGAGGCCGAGGCGGGCAGAUCACGAGGUCAGGAGAUCGAGACCAUCCUGGCUAACACAGUGAAACCCCAUCUCCACUAAAAAUACAAAAAUUAGCCGGGCGUGGUGGCGGGCGCCUGUAAUCCCAGCUACUCAGGAGGCUGAGGCAGGAGAAUGGCGUGAACCCGGGAGGCGGAGCUUGCAGUGAGCCGAGAUGGCGCCACAGCACUCCAGCCUGGGCGACAGAGCAAGACUCCGUCUCAAAAAAAAAGAAAAGAAAAAAGAAACAGAGCCCCUUCCCCUGGGGGAAAGAAUACCACCUCUCCACUCCUACUCCUCCCCUCCUCCCCCACCUGCUUCCUGAAGGGAGGGUGGUGAGGUCCUGUCCAGAGCAAGUGCAAGGAAGGAAAGAACUGCUUAUUUCAUUGACAGUUGUGUUUUUAUUUUUGUUUGGGUGGGGGAUACCCCAGGCAUGUGGUGGGAAGAAGGAGGGGGAGGGGAAGGCAGAUGUUAAGCAGACAAAGGAGCAGCGAAUGACCCUCCUGAGAACUACUGAGCCAGUCAGAAGCCAGGAGUGGGUGCGGGACUGGCAGCAUCGCCAGCGGGCACUCUGUUCUGCCUCCCUCGCCCAGUCCUGUAGUUGGCUAUUUUGGGCUGUGGAGAGAAAGGGCUGAACUGGUCAGGGCCACUGGGUCCCCAUCCCCCAGCCUGUGCCUGGGAACAAGAACCUCCCUGGGGAACCAAGUGCAGGGAGGUACCUUAGGAACCCUUCAACCUGCAUAUUCUUUGAUAUGGACAAUUGACACUCUCCCAUGAACAAAAGCAGUUAGAAAACUGAAAAUAUUUCAGAUCAAAAGGGCAAUGGAUAUAAAAACAGUAAGUUCAAGACAAGACCCCCUAGCUCCCUACCAACUGAGUUCCUACUCCUAGCCUCACCUGUCUAGAAAUCUGGGUGGCCACCGUUCCCAGAUCACCUUCUUCUGCCUAAGGCCAGCUCCUCCCUCAGUAACAAUCACAGCAAACAUUAUUGUUUGCUAUGUUCCAGGCACUGGGCAAAGGGCUUUAUUUGUCUGUUACAGAACCACCUCCCCCUGGGCUGCUAGACUUGCUCCCUGUCUCACAUUUGCAUUUCCCGAACAGAGUGAAUUCUCAAUAAAUGUUAACUGAACUAUGUAACGGAACUGUUACCAGAAAGGGGUCCCGAUCCAGACACCAAGAGAGGGUUCUUGGAUCUCACGCAAGAAAGAAUUCAGGGUGAGUCCACAGUGCAAAGUAAAAGCAAGUUUAUUAAGUAAAGGAAUAAAAUAAUGGCUACUCAACAGACAGAGCAGCCCCGAGGGCUGCUGGUUGCCCAUUUUUAUGGUUAUUUCUUGAUGAUGUGCUAAACACGGGGUGGGUUAUUCGUGCUCCCCUUUUUAGACCAUUUAAGGUAACUUCCUGACGUUGCCAUGAUAUUUGUAAACUGUCAUGGCGCGGCUGAAAGUGUAGCAGUGAGGACCACCAGCGGUCACUCUCAUUGCCAUUUUGGUUUUGAUGGGUUUUGGCCAGCUCCUUUACUGCAACCUGGUUUAUCAGCAAGGUCUUUAUGACCUGUAUUUUAUGCCGACCUCCUAUCUCAUCCUGUGACUUAGAAUGCCUUAACUGUAGGGUUCAGCCUCAUUUUACCCAGCUUCUAUUUAAGACGGAGUUGCUCUGGUUCACACGCCUCUGACAGAACUGCACGUCCCAGACCACAGCCACACAGCUCUCCCUUGUUCUUGCCUCAGCCUCGUACCCUUUUCCAUCUGAUGGACUCCUAUACACCCCUCAAGGCCUACCUCACCUGUCACCUUCUCGGUGCAGCCUUCCCCAGUGUCCAAGCAGAGUCCACUGCUUCAUCCUCCAGGCUGCUGUGACCCUGGCGGAUCCCUCAACCCAAGCCUUCCCUUAGGUGAUCGGAGGGCUAUAUUUGUGCACACACCAGUCUUCCCUCAUUGGCUGGGGGACAUUUAGUUCUCAGCCAGGCGCGGUGGCUCUACACAAAAAUACAAAAGUUAGCUGGGUGUGGUGGUGUGCGCCUGUAGUCCCAGCUACUUGGGAGGGUGAGGUGGGAAGACGGCUUGAACCCAGGAGGUUGAGGCUGCAAGUGAGCUGUGAUCAUGCCACUGUGGUCCAGCCUGGAUGACAGAACGAGACCUGUCUCAAACAAAAGAAAAAAACAACUCUGAAUCCCCAAUGCCUAAGAGGCCCUGGUACACAGUACAUGCUCAGAUAUGUGUUAAGUAAAUGAGACAGUAUCUCCAAGCAUGGCAGCAUGAAGUGUAUGUAUACACCCCUUGCUCUUUUCUACAGGGAACAACAAUAGCAGAGGCCUUUGUUGCCCUCUCCGCGAAACUGCCCAGUAACCUGGCAUUAGACGGGUCCCUGGCUGACCUGAUAAAGAAGCUCCCUGUACAAACAUCAAUUAAUGCAGGCAGCACAUCAAAGCAUUGUGGAGACAUGUCUGUGCCUCCCUCCAGACCAUCAAUUCUCAACUCAGGCUGCUCGUUAGACAUACCUGAGGAGCUUUCGAAAGAAACCAGUGCCUAGACCCCAUGCACAGAGAUUUUAAUGUAAUUGGUCCAGAUGAAGCCCCAGCAUAACUAAUCUGUAAAAGCUCCCCAAGUGAUUUGAAUGUGCAGGGUGUUUUGAGAACCCUGCCAUAGACCCAGCACCUUAAGAACCCUGUCUAUGUCCCCUUCAACUAGCACAUAAGGCUCACAGGAAAUCCUCACUGAAUGAAUAAACAAAUAAAUGGAUGGCAGAGAAUUUCUGCUCCAAUUCUGCAGCCCCUAGUGGGCAGUGUGCACUGUCCUAAGUGUGGUUCCUCCUUCCCCCCAGAUCUCCCUCCUUCACCGAGUUUGCACUCAGACUCCCU